rnacentral:rRNA from 1 species
AACGAACGCUGGCGGCAGGCCUAACACAUGCAAGUCGAGCGAGAAACCAUCUUCGGGUGGCGGACAGCGGCGGACGGGUGAGUAAUGCGUGGGAAUAUGCCCUUUGGUACGGAAUAGCCCCUGGAAACGGGGAGUAAUACCGUAUGUGCCCUACGGGGGAAAGAUUUAUCGCCAAAGGAUUAGCCCACGUUGGAUUAGCUAGUUGGUGAGGUAAGAGCUCACCAAGGCAACGAUCUAUAGCUGGUUUGAGAGGAUGAUCAGCCACACUGGGACUGAGACACGGCCCAGACUCCUACGGGAGGCAGCAGUGGGGAAUAUUAGACAAUGGGCGAAAGCCUGAUCUAGCCAUGCCGCGUGAGUGAAGAAGGCCCUAGGGUUGUAAAGCUCUUUCAGAUGUGAGGAUGAUGACAGUAGCAUCAGAAGAAGCCCCGGCUAACUUCGUGCCAGCCGCCGCCGUAACAC